GGCGUCAGUUCCGCCGCGACGGCGCCGUCGCCGCGGCAACCGGGGCCGCGGCCGCCCCGUCCCGCCGGGCCCGGCGCUGCGGGAGCGGGAGGAGCCGCCAGCCCCGGCGGGUGAUGCUGAUCCAGCCCCAGGCGCCCGCAGCUUCCCCGGGACCUGCAAUCCCACCUUCAGGCAGUGACCUGCAUCCUGCUCAUUCCAGCACACAACUGGGAGCACGUGGAUCAGGCAGCGGUUCCUGGCGGUAUUUCACCUUUCCCAUUGUUACCAAAGGAUUGCCCAUGUUUGCUGCAGUGAUCCCAGCUGCAUGGUGCACUCCUCAGCUCCUGUGCUAACUGUGAGAGCUCGAGGGAGGGACACGUUCCUCUGUGCCAUAACGAUUUGGGGUGCUCCUCUCGAUGGUGCUGCAAAGCCACACUCAGGUAACAGUUACUGCUGACUUCUAGGGCUUGGUUUGUUACAGCUUCAAUAAAAACACCCCAAUGUUUUGUGCAUUCA